rnacentral:rRNA from 1 species
UACGUAGGGUGCGAGCGUUGUCCGGAAUUAUUGGGCGUAAAGAGCUCGUAGGCGGCUUGUCGCGUCGGAUGUGAAAGCCCGGGGCUUAACCCCGGGUCUGCAUUCGAUACGGGCAGGCUAGAGUUCGGUAGGGGAGAUCGGAAUUCCUGGUGUAGCGGUAAAAUGCGCAGAUAUCAGGAGGAGCACCGGUGGCGAAGGCGGAUCUCUGGGCCGAUACUGACGCUGAGGAGCGAAAGCGUGGGGAGCGAACAGG